CGAGCAUCUCACCUCCCAGGUUGAUAGAGCUCUGUAGGGCAACAAAUCGUUGGGAUACCCGAGGAGGCUCAACGGCGGCAGAUGACUGCGUCACACUUGGUACUGCAGCGGUACACUGACCUGAUCAAUAGUGGCGAUCUCGAUGCCGCAUUCAACUAUCUCUCCGAGGACAUCAUCUACGUCACGUGGCUUGGCGUGGUCGAAGGGAAGGACAAUGUCGUAACGUUUUUGCGAGAUAACAUACGCUUCCUGCACUUCACCAAGAGCUUUAAUCGCUGGAGGCAAGUACAACAUUGCCUGGACGCGGACCUGUGCCGGCGCUUCGACGACUCAGGUGUCGGCGACUCGAACCUCUUCGACCGUGACGGGUACGACCCGCAGGGGUAUGCGAGCUUUGAGCGAGAUGGCAUGAUCGCCAAUGUAGUGAAGUACUCCAUGCAGAAAACGCGCGUGAAGGAAACAGUGGUGAUUCGCGACAACAAGGUGGUUUUAGUGACCUUGAUGGAGCAGCUGUGACAGGCGGGGAAGCGGGUACUAGGCUGGCGGUACAGAGAAGAAGGAGGCGCAUUGUCAUGUGUCGUUCCGGUUGUGCAAGGCUCGCGCCAUCGCGCGUUGGUGGGUGCUAGCGAGAAGGGUGAGAUGAUGCCUUCGAAGGGCACCGAUGCGGACUUGUCAUGCCCAUUGUCGUCGAUGUUGCCGGAAAAGUCGUGCAGCAACCACUGUCACUGUUUUUUUUUUCCUUUGUGCACGCUCCACUUGCUCCUUUUUCACCUUUGAACAUGGAGCGGCAUUAUCUACCUUUCUCUUCCACCCCUCUUAGCUGCUAGCCCUUGACCGGCUGAUGGUGUGUGCAUUGUCUGCUGUGUGUUCGUGUGCGUGUGUGUUUAUGGGGGUGAGCGGGGCGUAUGCAGAUCGUGUUGCGGGCUCGUCAUCACAUGGCCGUGCCGUGCGGCAACCAGCGACAAUGAAAACGUUUUAAAUAAAUUUUCUGUUGCAUGUCUGCGGAAGUAUGCCGUGAC
rnacentral:misc_RNA from 1 species